AACGAACGCUGGCGGCAGGCUUAACACAUGCAAGUCGAGCGCCCCGCAAGGGGCGCGGCAGACGGGUGAGUAACGCGUGGGCAUCUACCCAUCUCUACGGAACAACUUCGGGAAACUCGAGCUAAUACCCUAUACGUCCUUCGGGAGAAAGAUUUAUCGGGGAUGGAUGAGCCCGAGUUGGAUUAGCUAGUUGGUGGGGUAAUUGCCUACCAAGGCGACGAUCCAUAGCUGGUCAGAAAAGCUGAUUAGCCACAAUAGCACUGUGACAAGGCCAAGACUCAUACGGUAGGCAGCAGUGGUGAAUAUUGGACAAAGGGGAAAAGCCUGAACCAGCCAAGCCGCGUGAGUAAUGAAGGCCCAAGUAUUGUAAAGCACUUUCACCGGUGAAGAUAAUGACGGUAACCGAAGAAGAAGCCCCGGCUAAGUUGGUGCCAGCCGCCGCCGUAACAC
rnacentral:rRNA from 1 species